UACAUGGAUAACUGUAGUAAUUCUAGAGCUAAUACAUGCCACUAUGCCCUGACCCGCGAGGGAACGGGUGGAUUUAUUAGAACAGAACCAACCGGGGGCGGCUUCGGUCGUCCCUGUUGCAUUCUGUGAUGACUCUGGAUAACUUCACUGAUCGCAGUCGGCCUUGUGUCGGCGACGGAUCUUUCAAAUGUCUGCCCUAUCAAUUUUCGAUGGUAGGUGACCUGCCUACCAUGGUGCUAACGGGUAACGGGGAAUCAGGGUUCGAUUCCGGAGAGGGAGCCUGAGAAACGGCUACCACUUCCAAGGAAGGCAGCAGGCACGCAAAUUACCCAAUCCCGGCACGGGGAGGUAGUGACGAAAAAUACGGAUACGGGACUCACUAGAG
rnacentral:rRNA from 1 species